AUUGAACGCUGGCGGCAUGCCUUACACAUGCAAGUCGAACGGCAGCACGGGUGCUUGCACCUGGUGGCGAGUGGCGAACGGGUGAGUAAUACAUCGGAACAUGUCCUGUAGUGGGGGAUAGCCCGGCGAAAGCCGGAUUAAUACCGCAUACGAUCUACGGAUGAAAGCGGGGGACCUUCGGGCCUCGCGCUAUAGGGUUGGCCGAUGGCUGAUUAGCUAGUUGGUGGGGUAAAGGCCUACCAAGGCGACGAUCAGUAGCUGGUCUGAGAGGACGACCAGCCACACUGGGACUGAGACACGGCCCAGACUCCUACGGGAGGCAGCAGCGGGGAAUUUUGGACAAUGGGCGAAAGCCUGAUCCAGCAAUGCCGCGUGUGUGAAGAAGGCCUUCGGGUUGUAAAGCACUUUUGUCCGGAAAGAAAUCCUUGGCUCUAAUACAGUCGGGGGAUGACGGUACCGGAAGAAUAAGCACCGGCUAACUACGUG
rnacentral:rRNA from 1 species